rnacentral:rRNA from 1 species
GACAGAGGGUGCAAACGUUGUUCGGAAUUACUGGGCGUAAAGCGCGUGUAGGCGGCCCUGCAAGUCGGGUGUGAAAUCCCACGGCUCAACCGUGGAAGUGCACUCGAAACUGCAGGGCUAGAGUCCUGGAGAGGAAGGUGGAAUGCUUGGUGUAGAGGUGAAAUUCGUAGAUAUCAAGCGGAACACCGGUGGCGAAGGCGGCCUUCUGGACAGUGACUGACGCUGAGACGCGAAAACGUGGGGAGCAAACAGG